CUCUUCUCCACCCCCUCUUAAUGACUUGCUAUGGACCCACCUGGACCAAUUAGCAAGUAUCCCUAAAAGUUUAAAAGCCAUCUGGCGGCUAUGUCCCAUUCACUCCUUGCCUGUCAACAUGGAAAAAGUGACUCAUCUUAACGAUAUGAGCAGUUUUGAAUGUCUAACACCAUCGGAACUUGAUAGGAAGUUCAUUGAUGAGCAGCGUUUUACUUUUACUUUGUCACUGGGCCAACUGUCCAGAUCAAGAAUUUCAUCUGAUGGCUUAGUUGACGAAAGUGAUCUCAAAUCACUGAGCCACACUUCUCUAAACGUGGCAACGGCUCCAGCAUCUCUGUCUCAGGUCAAUGAUGUGAAUGGCCAAGGGACCAACAAUUCUCAUCAAUUAUUGGAGCUACAGGUCAACUCGUCCACUCCUUACAUCCUUGCGCAAAAGCAAGCUUAUCUGGACUGGUCAUACAUUGACCUUACCGUCUCUCGAAUGUCUUUGGAUGUGUCUGUGAUUAAGCCGGAGGGGAACAGCCCAAAACCCUUGGAGUUGAGCACCCUGGAACUUUGUAGUUCAAAACUACAAUCUGGGCCACAUUCAAGAUCAGAGGUUUCUCCCUGACAUUAUCAACUCUUCAUAUAAAUACAAUUUGGGGGCGGGAUGUAUUUUUAUUUUAAGUGUUUAAUAAAGCUAUUUGCUCAA